rnacentral:misc_RNA from 1 species
GAUGAAGAACGCAGCGAAAUGCGAUAAGUAGUGUGAAUUGCAGACUUUAGUGAAUCAUCGAAUCUUUGAACGCACCUUGCGCUCCUUGGUAUUCCGAGGAGCAUGCCUGUUUGAGUGUCAUGAAAUUCUCAACCUUUUCAGCUUUCUUUGUUGAUCAGGCUUGGAUGUGGGAGUAUGCGGGCUUCUCAGAAGUCGGCUCUCCUGAAAUGCAUUAGCGGGACCUUUGUUGCCUGGCUUUGGUGUGAUAAUUAUCUACGCCAUUGUAGUCAAGCAGCUUAAAAUGAGGUUUCAGCUUCUAACCGUCUCCCCUGAGACAACUUUUUGACAAUUUGACCUCAAAUCAGGUAGGACUACCCGCUGAACUUAAGCAUAUCAAUAAGCGGAGGA